AACGAACGCUGGCGGCAUGCCUAACACAUGCAAGUCGAACGAGACCUUCGGGUCUAGUGGCGCACGGGUGCGUAACGCGUGGGAAUCUGCCCUUGGGUUCGGAAUAACAGUUAGAAAUGACUGCUAAUACCGUAUACGUCCGAGAGGAGAAAGAUUUAUCGCAAUGAGACGGGCCCGCGUCGGAUUAGCUAGUUGGUAGGGUAACGGCCUACCAAGGCGACGAUCCGUAGCUGAUCUGAGAGGAUGAUCAGCCACACUGGGACUGAGACACGGCCCAGACUCCUACGGGAGGCAGCAGUGGGGAAUCUUGGACAAUGGGCGCAAGCCUGAUCCGGCCAUGCCGCGUGAGUGAAGAAGGCCUUAGGGUUGUAAAGCUCUUUUGCCAGGGACGAUAAUGACGGUACCUGGAGAAUAAGCCCCGGCAAACUUCGUGCCAGCAGCCGCCGUAAGAC
rnacentral:rRNA from 1 species